CGCCAUCUACAGUAGAAUCAUACAGUGACCGAAUUAAGGCCUGUAUGUACAUUCGGUCACAAAACGAUAGCAAGUUUUCUUUCUCAUAUUUCGGAACACACAAAAAUUACGAUGAAGUAAACCUAUAAAUUGACGCGCAUUGACGUGGUAGCCAACAAACUUCUAGCUUUUACGGGCAAAUAGCACCCUGAUUUGCUAUUGCGUUUUUUUGCCCCAAUAAACGUUUUACGUUCAGAAGCGACUAGUCGGAUCUGUGGAAGAUAUUUACACAGGACAAUUUUACAGUUAUAAAGAAAAUGUGGCCUUUAGUAGUGAGAUCUUUAGGCAAGUUUGCACCUAUUACGCAACAACGGCAAGAAAGAUUAUUGGAAAGUAUAGAUUCUUCGACUACCAAGAAGAAACACAAUCCUUUAGAAGUUAAUC